AGAGUUUGAUCUUGGCUCAGGACGAACGCUGGCGGCAUGCCUAAUACAUGCAAGUCGAACGAUGAUAUCACUGCUUGCAGUGAUUGAUUAGUGGCGAACGGGUGAGUAACACGUGAGGAACUUGCCCAUGAGCGGGGGACAACAUUCGGAAACGGAUGCUAAUACCCCAUAGGUGGAUUGGUCGCAUGACGAAUUCAUUAAAGGUGGCUUUGCUACCACUCAUGGAUAGCCUCGCGGCGUAUUAGCUAGUUGGUAAGGUAAUGGCUUACCAAGGCAGUGAUACGUAGCCGACUUGAGAGGGUGAUCGGCCACACUGGGACUGAGACACGGCCCAGACUCCUACGGGAGGCAGCAGUAGGGAAUCUUCCACAAUGGGUGCAAACCUGAUGGAGCAAUGCCGCGUGAGUGAAGAAGGUCUUCGGAUCGUAAAGCUCUGUUGUUAGAGAAGAACACGUGCUAGGUAACUACUAGCGCCUUGACGGUAUCUAACCAGAAAGUCACGGCUAACUACGUGCCAGCAGCCGCGGUAAUACGUAGGUGACAAGCGUUGUCCGGAUUUAUUGGGCGUAAAGGGAGCGCAGGCGGUCUGUUUAGUCUAAUGUGAAAGCCCACGGCUUAACCGUGGAACGGCAUUGGAAACUGACAGACUUGAAUGUAGAAGAGGAAAAUGGAAUUCCAAGUGUAGCGGUGGAAUGCGUAGAUAUUUGGAGGAACACCAGUGGCGAAGGCGAUUUUCUGGUCUAACAUUGACGCUGAGGCUCGAAAGCGUGGGGAGCGAACAGGAUUAGAUACCCUGGUAGUCCACGCCGUAAACGAUGAGUGCUAAGUGUUGGGGGCUUUCCGGCCCUCGGUGCUGGAGCUAACGUAUUAAGCACUCCGCCUGGGGAUUACGACCGCAAGGUUGAAACUCAAAAGAAUUGACGGGGACCCGCACAAGCGGUGGAGCAUGUGGUUUAAUUCGAAGCAACGCGAAGAACCUUACCAGCUCUUGACAUCUUCUGACAACUCUAGAGAUAGAGCGUUCCCUUCGGGGACAGAAUGACAGGUGGUGCAUGGUUGUCGUCAGCUCGUGUCGUGAGAUGUUGGGUUAAGUCCCGCAACGAGCGCAACCCUUGUCU
rnacentral:rRNA from 1 species